UGGAUCAGGAUGAAGCAACAUUGAAAUAAAUCCAACACUUGAUCUGAGGCAUUAUCUGUCAUGUGAUGCUAACCUUUGCUUCUGAAUCUUA